rnacentral:siRNA from 1 species
UAUUGCUGUUAUAACGAGAGGUCC